AUAUCUCUCUGUACGGGAAGGAUGAGAAGCUUCUACCAGGGUUCGAUUCGAGCGCAGCGAGAAAGCGUUGCCGCAG
rnacentral:sRNA from 5 species